rnacentral:rRNA from 1 species
AUUGAACGCUGGCGGCAUGCUUUACACAUGCCAGUCGAACGGCGGCGCGUGCUUCGGCCUGUCGGCGAGUGGCGAACGGGUGAGUAAUGCAUCGGAACGUUCCCAGUAGUGGGGGAUAGCCCGGCGAAAGCCGGAUUAAUACCGAAUACGACCUGUGGGUGAAAGCGGGGGACCGAAAGGCCUCGCGCUAUUGGAGCGGCCGAUGUCGGCUUAGCUAGUUGGUGGGGUAAAGGCUUACCAAGGCGACGAUCCGUAGCUGGUCUGAGAGGACGACCAGCCACACUGGGACUGCGACACGGCCCAGACUCCUACGGGAGGCAGCAGUGGGGAAUUUUGGACAAUGGGGGCAACCCUGAUCCAGCCAUGCCGAGUGCGGGAAGAAGGCCUUCGGGUUGUAAACCGAUUUUGUUCGGGAAGAAAUCCUCUGGGCUAAUACCCCGGGGGGAUGAGGGUACCGGAAGAAUAAGCACCGGCUAACUACGUG